CCUACGGGGGGCAGCAGUGGGGAAUAUUGGGCAAUGGGCGCAAGCCUGACCCAGCAACGCCGCGUGAGGGAGGAAUGCUUUCGGGUUGUAAACUUCUUUUGGCCGGGGAGAGUAGAAGACGGUACCUGUCGAGUAAGCCACGGCUAACUACGUGCCAGCAGCCGCGGUAAUACGGAGGUGGCAAGCGUUGUCCGGAUUUACGGGGUGUAAAGGGCGUGUGGCCGGGUUGACAAGGCAGAUGGGAAAUCCUGCGGGUUAACCGCAGAACAGCAGUUGAAACUGUGGAUCUUGAGUACUGGAGAGGUAGACGGAAUGCCUAGUGUAGCGGUGAAAUGCGUAGAUAUUAGGAGGAACACCAGUGGCGAAGGCGGUCUGCUGGACAGCAACUGACGGUGAGGCGCGAAAGCGUGGGUAGCAAACAGGAUUAGAUACCCUUGUAGUC
rnacentral:rRNA from 1 species